rnacentral:tRNA from 1 species
GCGCGAGUGGCGGAAUGGAAGACGCGUAUGGCUCAGAACCAUAUAGGUAAAACCUGUGGGGGUUCAAAUCCCCCCUCGCGCA